rnacentral:rRNA from 1 species
ACUACGGGAGGCAGCAGUGGGGAAUAUUGGGCAAUGGGCGCAAGCCUGACCCAGCAACGCCGCGUGAAGGAAGAAGGCUCUCGGGUUGUAAACUUCCUUUAAGAGGGAAGAGCAGAAGACGGUACCUCUUGAAUAAGCCACGGCUAACUACGUGACAGCAGCCGCGGUAAUACGUAGGUGGCAAGCGUUGUUCGGAUUUACUGGGUGUAAAGGGCGUGUAGGCGGGCUGGGAAGUCAGGUGUGAAAUGCCGGGGCGCAACCCCGGACCUGCAUUUGAAACUGUUGGUCUUGAGUAUCGGAGAGGCAGGCGGAAUUCCUGGUGUAGCGGUGAAAUGCGUAGAUAUUAAGAGGAACACCAGUGGCGAAGGCGGCCUGCUGGACGACAACUGACGGUGAGGCGCGAAAGCGUGGGGAGCAAACAGGAUUAGAUACCCUUGUAGUC